rnacentral:lncRNA from 13 species
GUUUGCAAUGGUGCAAUGUCUGGUGUUCACACUCUGGGUCUGUGCUGUGGCACUGCAUUCCCAUGGAAGUACAGAGAGAGUAUCUCAAACGACUGAGCCAAGUGUCUCUAGGAGCACAGACCCGACGGCUGAGACAGUUACUUUAGGACCAGUUGAGACCCAAAGCCCUGAUACACACACAGACCAGAGCAUAGAAGAAGAACAAGAACCACUUCCCUCAGACCCCUGUCAGGAUGAGGAGAUGGAUAAGAGCGUGUACCAGAGGGAUUCUCAUGGUGUUAUGCAGCUGGUUCAGGGAGAGGACUACAAAAACACUUGCAACCUAUCAGACAGUAAGACACAUGCACAAAGACACACUCACACAGGUGCACACGCAUACACACACACUGAAUCCUGUCUGUAGCUCCAGGUGAACAGGCCCACUGUCUUAUCUACCCUACCAAUCAACUCAACUGCUCCUGGAAUUUCCAUGGUCUCCCUAACGACAGCCAAUCCUACGCCUCCGUCUUGUAAGCCCUUCCAACAAUAUCCAAGAAAAUAAAAAGUAUUAACAAUAGUAAUAGUACAAUCUUGUCAAUUCAUAGGUUAUUACUGUGUAAUUACCAUUUUACUGUAUAAUCUCAUUUUAGUACAUGACACCAACCCUCAAUCAAGGUGUUUGCUUUAAGCGCUGCUGUGUGUGGGUGUGUGUAUGUGUAUGUUUGAAUAUCAGUGUGUGUAAGAACACUGAGAGAAUCUCCAGUGUGGACUGUGUCACUGAGGCCAUAGGAGGCCAAGGAGCCCAGGGAGGGACUGGAAAGGCUGACCGUGUGGUUGGAAAUGUGUCUACUGGGUGCCAAGGCAGUGUGGACAACAGCGCCACCUCGGUGAUCCUGACUUUCAACGUGUCAUGCUCUGACGUGUGGGGCAUCUACACCCAUAAAUACCAGACCAAAGAUAUUGAUGUGCUGGGCCCGCCCCCCGACAUCAACCCAGCCUGGGUCAGAGAGGGGGUUCUGCUGGUGCAGUGGGGUCUCCCAUCCAUCCGGUCAGCUGCUUCCACUACCAGCUGCUUCCACUACCAGCUACAGAUCAAUGGCCAGGUGAGGGACUUUAAGGAUUUACUGACAUACAAUGAGACCAACUUAGACCCCACACAUUCACACGAUGUGAAGAUGAGGGUGAGGAGGAGUAAAACCUGCAGAGGAUCUCAACACUGGAGCAGCUGGAGCAACACCACCAAGGUGGCCCCGUUUGAAUUUCCCAAUCAGCUGAACUCUCUGGUGGUCGUUGGCAUCGCUCUGGGAAUACCCAUGAUCCUCCUGUCUCUGCUGCUGCUGAUUCGACUCCAAAGGGAACGUCUGUUUCCCCACAUCCCUGGUCCCCCACUGAAGAUUAAACACCUCUUGGAGAGAGACGACCAGUUUCAGUUUGUCCCUCAGGCCCUGCAGUCCAAAUUUGUUGAGGAGAUCACAGUGGUGGAGGAAGCUAAGGAAACACCUGUGAAUUUGGCCAGUUAA